rnacentral:rRNA from 1 species
GUUGAACGCUGGCGGCAUGCCUUACACAUGCAAGUCGAACGGCAGCACGGGAGCAAUCCUGGUGGCGAGUGGCGAACGGGUGAGUAAAGUAUCGGAACGUGCCCAGUCGUGGGGGAUAACGUAGCGAAAGUUACGCUAAUACCGCAUACGAUCUAUGGAUGAAAGCGGGGGAUCGCAAGACCUCGCGCGAUUGGAGCGGCCGAUAUCAGAUUAGGUAGUUGGUGGGGUAAAGGCUCACCAAGCCGACGAUCUGUAGCUGGUCUGAGAGGACGACCGGCCACACUGGGCCUGGGACACGGCCCAGACUCCUCCGGGAGGCAGCAGUGGGGAAUUUUGGACAAUGGGCGCAAGCCUGAUCCAGCCAUGCCGCGUGCAGGAUGAAGGCCUUCGGGUUGUAAACUGCUUUUGUACGGAACGAAAAGGUUUGACUUAAUACGUUGGACUCAUGACGGUACCGUAAGAAUAAGCACCGGCUAACUACGUGCCAGCCGCCGCCGUAA